rnacentral:rRNA from 1 species
AACGAACGCUGGCGGCAGGCUUAACACAUGCAAGUCGAGCGCCCCGCAAGGGGAGCGGCAGACGGGUGAGUAACGCGUGGGAAUCUACCCAUCUCUACGGAAUAACGCAUGGAAACGUGUGCUAAUACCGUAUACGUCCUUCGGGAGAAAGAUUUAUCGGAGAUGGAUGAGCCCGCGUUGGAUUAGCUAGUUGGUGGGGUAAAGGCCUACCAAGGCGACGAUCCAUAGCUGGUCUGAGAGGAUGAUCAGCCACACUGGGACUGAGACACGGCCCAGACUCCUACGGGAGGCAGCGGUGGGGAAUAUUGGACAAUGGGCGCAAGCCUGAUCCAGCCAUGCCGCGUGAGUGAUGAAGGCCCUAGGGUUGUAAAGCUCUCUCACCGGUGAAGAUAAUGACGGUAACCGGAGAAGAAGCCCCGGCUAACUUCGUGCCAGCAGCCGCUGUAACAC